GAUGAAGAACGUAGCGAAAUGCGAUAAGUAGUGUGAAUUGCAGAAUUCAGUGAAUCAUCGAAUCUUUGAACGCACAUUGCGCCCUUUGGUAUUCCAAAGGGCAUGCCUGUUCGAGCGUCAUUUGUACCCUCAAGCUUUGCUUGGUGUUGGGCGUCUUGUCUCUAGCUUUGCUGGAGACUCGCCUUAAAGUAAUUGGCAGCCGGCCUACUGGUUUCGGAGCGCAGCACAAGUCGCACUCUCUAUCAGCAAAGGUCUAGCAUCCACUAAGCCUUUUUUUCAACUUUUGACCUCGGAUCAGGUAGGGAUACCCGCUGAACUUAAGCGUAUCAAUAAGCGGAGGA
rnacentral:misc_RNA from 1 species